rnacentral:ncRNA from 1 species
GUGAGCCGUAUGAGGGAAAACUUCACGUACGGUUCUUUGUGGAGGGUAAUGGAAAUAGGACUUAUAAAAGUUACUGCGCCAUUACUCUACCCGAC